rnacentral:lncRNA from 1 species
CGGCCACGGCCGUAUCGGGAAACACCGCAAACACCCAGGAGGACGAGGAAACGCCGGAGGAAUGCACCACCAUCGAAUCCUCUUCGACAAAUACCACCCUGGAUACUUCGGCAAGGUCGGAAUGAGGUAUUUUCACAAGCUCCGUAAUAAAUUCCAUUGUCCGAUCGUCAACAUCGAUAAGCUCUGGUCACUUGUCCCAUCCGACCUGAAAGAAAAAGCGGUCUCCGAGGGUAAAUCAGGAAAUGCGCCUCUGAUUGACGUCACCCAGUUUGGGUAUUUUAAGGUUUUGGGUAAAGGAGUCUUGCCGGAGAAUCAACCUGUGGUAGUUAAGGCUAAGCU